rnacentral:rRNA from 1 species
UGGGGAAUAUUGCACAAUGGGCGAAAGCCUGAUGCAGCAACGCCGCGUGCGGGAUGACGGCCUUCGGGUUGUAAACCGCUUUCAGCAGGGACGAAGGUUUUCUGACGGUACCUGCAGAAGAAGCACCGGCUAACUACGUGCCAGCAGCCGCGGUGAUACGUAGGGUGCGAGCGUUGUCCGGAAUUAUUGGGCGUAAAGAGCUUGUAGGCGGUCCGUUGCGUCGGAAGUGAAAACUCAGGGGCUUAACCCCUGAGCCUGCUUUCGAUACGGGCGGACUUGAGGGAUGUAGGGGAGAACGGAAUUCCUGGUGGAGCGGUGGAAUGCGCAGAUAUCAGGAGGAACACCAGUGGCGAAGGCGGUUCUCUGGACAUUUCCUGACGCUGAGAAGCGAAAGCGUGGGGAGCAAACAGGCUUAGAUACCCUGGUAGCCCACGCCGUAAACGGUGGGCACUAGGUGUGGGACCCAUUCCACGGGUUCCGUGCCGUAGCUAACGCAUUAAGUGCCCCCG